rnacentral:rRNA from 1 species
UACGUAGGGUGCGAGCGUUAAUCGGAAUUACUGGGCGUAAAGCGUGCGCAGGCGGUUUGGUAAGACAGAUGUGAAAUCCCCCGGGCUUAACCUGGGAAUUGCAUUUGUGACUGCCCGGCUAGAGUGUGUCAGAGGGGGGUAGAAUUCCGACGUGUAGCAGUGAAAUGCGUAGAGAUGUGGAGGAACACCGAUGGCGAAGGCAGCCUCCUGGGCCGACACUGACGCUCAUGCACGAAAGCGUGGGGAGCAAACGGG